rnacentral:tRNA from 1 species
GCUUCGGUGGUUUAGUGGUAGAAUUCUCGCUUUCCACGUGGGAGACCGGGGUUUGAUUCCCAGCCAAUGCG